rnacentral:rRNA from 1 species
CGCGUAGGUGGUUGCGUAAGUCGGAUGUGAAAUCCUGAGGCUUAACCUCAGAACUGCAUCUGAUACUGCGUGACUCGAGUGCAGCAGAGGGAAACGGAAUUCCUGGUGUAGAGGUGAAAUUCGUAGAUAUCAGGAGGAACACCGGUGGCGAAGGCGGUUUCCUGGGCUGACACUGACACUGAGGCGCGAAAGCGUGGGUAGCAAACAGGAUUAGAUACCCUGGUAGUCCACGCUGUAAACGGUGAGUGCUGGGUGUGGGAGGUGUAAUGCCUUCUGUGCCGAAGCUAACGCGUUAAGCACUCCGCCUGGGGAGUACGGCCGCAAGGUUGAA